UAUAGUUGGCAUAUUGAGAAGUGAAGCCAAGUAGACAUGGUUGUACAAAAAGGCAUAGGUCAUUCUAUUAACAACGUCACUACUGCUCUUGAUGAAGGACACCCACAAACAAUUCAAAAUAUAUCAUCAAAAGAAUUUUGAGAUUGAGCAUCUAGAAAGUGAGUUACAACCAUCCUUUUGCACUUGGAAGAAAAAUGAUGUAAAGCUAGAUGUAGUGAAGGUUAUGAACAAUUCAAAGUUGAAGAAGAAGUUGUAAAAUUGUUGGUUUUAGUUGUUGAUUAUGUAUGAUGUUUAUGGAUAAAUUGUAAUAGUGAAAAAGGAAGACCAUAUUUGAUACUUUUUGUCAA